GUCUAUGGGCAUACCAUCCUACACAUACCUGAUCUCUUCUGAUCUCAGAAGCUAAGCAGGGUUCGGCCUGCUUAGUGAUUAGAUAGGAGGCCAAAAAUAUUAAAUGGAAAGUUCCAAAAACG
rnacentral:rRNA from 1 species